UCUAAGUAGCGUCUCCAUACGCCCUGGCAGCAGAAGGUUUUUAUCAAAUCAAUUAGGCUACAAUAUCAGAUACUUUACUGCAAAGGGGUGGACAACCGCGCUGCAGACGCUUUAUCUCGUGUGCCAGUGCUGCAGUGUUCUGCUGUAUCUGUAGCACAGCUGCAGUGGUUGCAUGAGGUGGCUGUGUCCUAUGAAUCCGAUAACUAGGUGCAACAAAUGAUUACUAAAUUGGUGGUUGAUCCUACCGCAGUGCCCCAUUUUUCAUUUUGGGAUGGUCUAUUGUGCUGCAACCAGCCUGUAUGGAUUGGUUGCAACCUUGAGGUACAGACUCGAGUCGUUGUUGCAAUUCAUGUUAGCACCAUCGGUGGGUACUCUGGUAUUCUAGUCACUUAUCGCCGUGUCAAGCAGUUGUUCGCUUGGAAGGGUCUCAAAUCAGCUGUGCAGGAGUUUGUCCGCUCUUGUUUCAUUUGUCAGCAGGCAAACCCCGACCGCUAUCGCUGACCGGGUCUCCUACAGCCUCUAUCAGUUCCUGACCAUGCCUGUUAUUGACGCUAAUUAACUCCAAUUUUCAACCAUCAACUAUUCACAGAAGAGACCUAAAAUGACUUAUAAAGUAAGGUUAUAGGGGUUUAUUCUAAUAAGUUCCAUGAGUUGUGUUGUUCUCACUUGUCUUGUAGGAUAUUCAAUAUUUCACCAUAUAAAAGUAUCUCAAGUGAACAAUCUAAGUACACCAUUGUAGAGAGCUCAUCGAGACGAUCGAGAUAGACAUAUCAUUUUCCAUACUUGGAGCACCAGAGAGGAAGUCCUUGAUGGAUACGACUCGAAAGACUCUAAAAGAUCCUAUAACCAUCAUCCAUUACAAGACCCACUGACAAGAUUCCACAGCUCUGUGAAAUAAUAUUUUUUAGGGAUUUAUCUAGAAGCAGGGAAAGGAAAGAAUCCAUCCAUGACACGACUCGUUGCGCAAACAGAUCGAAAAGAGGCACUAAAAGGAUGUAGAAGAUACCGAAAGACUCAGGAAUGAAGCAGAAGACCGACGGUGGCCAGGUGGGGCUGGCCGGCCCCACAUGCUAGGACGGCCAGCCUAGGCCCACCUAGAAGCCACCUCUCCUUCGUGUGACGGCCUCCAACCGACCUCUACGACGUAUAUUGACCCCUGUUCUAUGUCAGUUUGAUCCAAGGGCUACGGUUCAUCCCACCGUUCUAUAUAAGCGGAGGCAGACCUCCCCUAAAGCAGCAAUCGAUCAAUCAAUCCAUCAUAGUUCAAUUUAGAGCUCCAUCAACUAGGGCAUAGCUAGAAACACAAGAAUAUGAAUUAGAGGAGUCAAGCAACGCAUGGAUUUCAGAUGGAGUCACGAGGAGGCUAGCAACUAGCUGAUGGAGGGAAAGCCAAACAGAAGCAUGAAAAACAAGCCCAUGGGCGUCAUUAUAUAGCGCCACCGAGGGUCAAAACGAUGCAGCCGCAUGACAAAUGACGGAGGAGCUUGUUGGCUUCCCCGCAUACAAUGAUGGCGAGGGCCCUUCAGCUACUUCUGUGUCGACUUCGAGGGCCUGCAGCAUCAGAUUGAUGAGCUGGCCUUGCUCAUAGGUAAAACUGUUGAGAUUAUCCAUUGUCGUGAGAUCAAGCGAGUGGACAAAAGAAUGACUCAGCAUUAGUCAUCUCUGAAGACACAUUCAUGCCCCCAUGGGCUGAUUGUUGGCUUCUGCCUGCGAUGUGUCUAGGUAUAUAAAAGGGAUAAUGAAUCAACUUGGCCUUGUUGUUUGUGAAGAUGUUGUUGGACUGUUGGUAACAUACUUGGCUGCUGGUGAGUUGGCCUUUGACAGUCCUCAAAUUCUCUGCUUUUGGUUUGUUCCUUGGAUUUAGGAAUCAUGCAAUGAUUCUACAGUAAUAGUAUAUAAGAUCUAGCUGAAGUGUCUCUUGUUAAAUUUGCUUCAUAAACUUACAAGUCAACUCGAAUGGUUGGUGCUUGUGGCUUGAUUUCUAACCAUUUGACUUAUGUUUAAGCUUUCUUUCUUACUGGUCUUGCUACACUAUUAAUUUUUUAGGAAUCUUUGCCUCUGAUGGUUUAGAUCACAAGAUAAGGCUGGUGAGAUUAAACAUUCAGUUUUAUUUUUUGGCAAUAGCCUUCUUCGUUCGUCGUUCCAGUUGUCAUGUCCUAACUAUGUGUUUUUUUGCCAUGAAUCUUAAUCUAUCUUCCUCCAUACCUAUAAAGAAAGUCGUUUAGGACAACGACAUGGUUUCCAAAACCUAACUUUGACUCUUUAUUUUUGUGAAAAUAUUUAUCAAAAAGUGAUAUAUGUAUAUUUUAUGAAAGUAUUUUUCAAGACAAAUAUAUUCACAUGGUUUUCACAUUUCUAAACUCAACAACUUAAAAGUUAUUCAUGAAAAGUGCAAAUUAUUAAAAAUUAAGCAUUAUAUAAGUUGCCAAUUAUAGACAUUUAUUGAAAAACAAGGGUAGCAGUACAAAAGAAGACAAGUUGUAACCUCAGGGUAAAUUAUUAGAACCAAAGGCAAGUUAUUAUAUAACUCACAAAGUUUUAGCAAAUUGUAUAAUAAUAAUUUUUGGGGCAUGUGUGCUUUGUGGAAGUCGGAGGGAUUUUUUUUGCUGUAAUGGUGGUGGCGGCAACGAUCUGCGUGGAUGACAAGGCUGCUUGCGCCACCGUGGAAUGUGUGAGGAUCGAGAAGCUGGAUCCUGUUGCCUAGGGUUGAUGGCCAUGUCGGCGGCGGCGAUCUGUGUGGAUGGGAGACCGCCUGCACCAUCGUGGAAUGCGCAAGGAUUGAUAGGAUCCCGCUGCCUAGGGAUGACAUGCAUGGUGGCGAUCCUCUGCCUCCUCCAUCUUCUGUUAGGGCUAGAGCUGUGCCUGUGGUCCUGUGCACUUACCCUCCUCUCCUCCUCAUGGGCAGAUGGGAUUGCUUAUUAUCGGCGCGAGCUUCCAUGCCAGAAGGUUGUGACCUACCGACAAGGUGCUUUCGAAGAGGGGAAUACAGGUGAGGCGUUGAUUAUGCUACAAAAGUGGUUUUGAGUUUGGUGCUCUCUAGAUCAUUUUGGUUCUUGCCACUUGCCGGACAUUGAGGGAUAAGGCUCCGUUAGUUCCAGAUGACUUGUUAUUAGAUGGUUGAGCCGAGACAAUUUUAUUAUGACUUGAUAUGUAUAGGUAUUUUUUAGAUUAUAUACAUGAUCAUAUACAAUUGUGUGAAUCUUGAACUAUGAAAAAAUUAUUUAGUUAUUUUCAUGUACAUUCUUGA